UACGGAGGGUGCAAACGUUGCUCGGAAUCAUUGGGCGUAAAGCGCACGUAGGCGGUCCGUUAAGUCGGAUGUGAAAGCCCCGGGCUCAACCCGGGAAGUGCAUACGAAACUGGCGGACUUGAAUAUGGAAGAGGGUCGCGGAAUUCCCGGUGUAGAGGUGAAAUUCGUAGAUAUCGGGAGGAACACCAGUGGCGAAGGCGGCGACCUGGGCCAAUAUUGACGCUGAGGUGCGAAAGCGUGGGGAGCAAACAGG
rnacentral:rRNA from 1 species